GCCAGACUCCUACGGGAGGCAGCAGUGGGGAAUAUUGGGCAAUGGGCGCAAACCUGACCCAGCAACGCCGCGUGAAGGAAGAAGGCUUUCGGGUUGUAAACUUCUUUUGGCAGGGAAGAGCAGAAGACGGUACCUGUCGAAUAAGCCCCGACUAACUACGUGCCAGCAGCCGCGGUAAUACGUAGGGGGCAAGCGUUAUCCGGAUUUACUGGGUGUAAAGGGAGCGUAGACGGCAGCGCAAGUCUGGAGUGAAAUGCCGGGGCCCAACCCCGGAACUGCUCUGGAAACUGUGAAGCUGGAGUGCAGGAGAGGUAAGCGGAAUUCCUGGUGUAGCGGUGAAAUGCGUAGAUAUUAGGAGGAACACCAGUGGCGAAGGCGGCUUACUGGACGGUAACUGACGUUGAGGCUCGAAAGCGUGGGGAGCAAACAGGAUUAGAUACCCGUGUA
rnacentral:rRNA from 1 species